rnacentral:rRNA from 1 species
AUGCUCAUCCAUCUUGCCUGCUUUGCUUGCCUCCUUCUCCUCUCCAAUUCAGGUUCUGCGAUCCCUUGUGUUGCUGCGUCCCGAUCUCCAGCUUUGUUGCAUCUCUGUUCUGCUCCUCGAGGUGCUCAACAGGAGAAGCACUCAAUAGGAGAAGCAGGAGCAGCGGAGCGUUCGCCUCGUUGCAGGGUGCGUGGACAAACAGAUGCCAGGGGCAUUGUUUCACACAACACCUACACCAAUGACCACUGGACAAGUGAAGUAAAGGGACUUGUGAACAACAUGAAAAACUUUCAGCCAUCUUUUGAUUACAUGGAAAUAUGCCUUUGA